rnacentral:tRNA from 1 species
GCUGGGUUAGCGAAGUGGUCAAACGUAGCGCGCUGUAAACGCGAUGGCCUUGUGCCUUCGGGGGUUCGAAUCCCUCACCCAGCA